AUUGAACGCUGGCGGAACGCUUUACACAUGCAAGUCGAACGGUAACGCGGAGAGAAGCUUGCUUCUCUCCGGCGACGAGUGGCGAACGGGUGAGUAAUACAUCGGAACGUGUCCGCUCGUGGGGGACAACCAGCCGAAAGGUUGGCUAAUACCGCAUGAGUUCUACGGAAGAAAGAGGGGGACCCGCAAGGGCCUCUCGCGAGCGGAGCGGCCGAUGACUGAUUAGCCGGUUGGUGAGGUAACGGCUCACCAAAGCAACGAUCAGUAGCUGGUCUGAGAGGACGACCAGCCACACUGGGACUGAGACACGGCCCAGACUCCUACGGGAGGCAGCAGUGGGGAAUUUUGGACAAUGGGCGCAAGCCUGAUCCAGCUAUUCCGCGUGUGGGAUGAAGGCCCUCGGGUUGUAAACCACUUUUGUAGAGAACGAAAAGACACCUUUUAAAAAAGGGUGUUGCUGACGGUACUCUAAGAAUAAGCACCGGCUAACUACGUGCCAGCAGCCGCGGUAAUACGUAGGGUGCGAGCGUUAAUCGGAAUUACUGGGCGUAAAGGGUGCGCAGGCGGUUGAGUAAGACAGAUGUGAAAUCCCCGAGCUUAACUCGGGAAUGGCAUAUGUGACUGCUCGACUAGAGUGUGUCAGAGGGAGGUGGAAUUCCACGUGUAGCAGUGAAAUGCGUAGAUAUGUGGAAGAACACCGAUGGCGAAGGCAGCCUCCUGGGACAUAACUGACGCUCAGGCACGAAAGCGUGGGGAGCAAACAGGAUUAGAUACCCUGGUAGUCCACGCCCUAAACGAUGUUAACUAGUUGUUGGGAAGUAAAAUUCUCAGUAACGCAGCCAACGCGAGAAGUUAACCGCCUGGGAAGUACGGUCGCAAGACUAAAACUCAAAGGAAUUGACGGGGACCCGCACAAGCGGUGGAUGAUGUGGAUUAAUUCGAUGUAACGCGAAAAACCUUACCUACCCUUGACAUGUCAGGAAGCUCUUGUAAUGAGAGUGUGCCCGCAAGGGAGCCUGAACACAGGUGCUGCAUGGCUGUCGUCAGCUCGUGUCGUGAGAUGUUGGGUUAAGUCCCGCAACGAGCGCAACCCUUGUCACUAGUUGCUACGAAAGGGCACUCUAGUGAGACUGCCGGUGACAAACCGGAGGAAGGUGGGGAUGACGUCAAGUCCUCAUGGCCCUUAUGGGUAGGGCUUCACACGUCAUACAAUGGUCGGAACAGAGGGCAGCGAAGUCGUGAGACGGAGCCAAUCCCAGAAAACCGAUCGUAGUCCGGAUUGCAGUCUGCAACUCGACUGCAUGAAGUCGGAAUCGCUAGUAAUCGCGGAUCAGCAUGCCGCGGUGAAUACGUUCCCGGGUCUUGUACACACCGCCCGUCAAACAAUGGGAGUGGUGUUUACCAGAAGUCGUUAGCCUAACCGCAAGGAGGGCGGCGACCACGGUGAGCACCGUGACUAAUGUUAAGUCGUAACAAGGUAGCCGUACCGGAAGGUGCGGCUGGAUCACCUCCUUUCAAGUAAAGCAGUAUGAGCUCAGAAGUUCUGAGUGUCCGCUCUUAUCGGAAGUCGAUAGAAAUUUAAGGACGCAAUAGUUCUUUAACAAUUCGGAAUAAUCAAUCUAACGUUUAAGCUGAUUUGAUGAGAGUCAGCGAGAACGGGUAGUGAUAAGAAAUCUUUACAAAGAGAGAAACUUUGAGAUUUCUCAAGCAAAGACAUACAAGCAUAUGGCAUGAGAACGAGAGUUGCUUGUGACCCGGCCGGGCAAUAGGCGGCAGGGUUAUAGGAUCAAGUGACUAAGUGCAUGUGGCGGAUGCCUUGGCGAUCACAGGCGAAGAAAGACGCGGCAGCCUGCGAAAAGCUGCGGGGAGCUGGCAAACGAGCUUUGAUCCGCAGAUAUCUGAAUGGGGGAACCCACACCGCAAGGUGUAUCCGUAACUGAAUACAUAGGUUACGGAGGCGAACGAGGAGAACUGAAACAUCUAAGUAUCCUCAGGAAAAGAAAUCAACCGAGAUUCCGGCAGUAGCGGCGAGCGAACCCGGAGGAGCCCAGCUUUUGAUAGUACGAACUUUAGCCGAAAGGUCCUGGAAAGGCCUGCUAUAGUGGGUGAUAGCCCCGUAGGCGAAAGAGUUGGUACGGUACUAAGGAAGCGAGAAGUAGAGCGGGACACGUGGAAUCCUGUUCGAAGACGGGGGGACCAUCCUCCAAGGCUAAAUACUCGUGAUCGACCGAUAGUGAACC
rnacentral:rRNA from 1 species